rnacentral:rRNA from 1 species
AACGAACGCUGGCGGCAUGCCUAACACAUGCAAGUCGAACGAGACCUUCGGGUCUAGUGGCGCACGGGUGCGUAACGCGUGGGAAUCUGCCCUUGGGUUCGGAAUAACUCAGAGAAAUUUGAGCUAAUACCGGAUGAUGACGAAAGUCCAAAGAUUUAUCGCCCAGGGAUGAGCCCGCGUAAGAUUAGCUUGUUGGUGGGGUAAUGGCCUACCAAGGCGACGAUCUUUAGCUGGUCUGAGAGGAUGAUCAGCCACACUGGGACUGAGACACGGCCCAGACUCCUACGGGAGGCAGCAGUGGGGAGUAUUGGACAAUGGGCGCAAGCCUGAUCCAGCAAUGCCGCGUGAGUGAUGAAGGCCUUAGGGUUGUAAAGCUCUUUUACCAGGGAUGAUAAUGACAGUACCUGGAGAAUAAGCUCCGGCUAACUCCGUGCCAGCAGCCGCGGUAAAGUACAGUGU